rnacentral:lncRNA from 1 species
AUCCUUGGAGCGAGCUGAGAGCUCGAGGUGAGCUGGGCUCGCGGUCGCCCCUCUCGCGCGCCCUCUUUAAGAACCACGGCGUCCAACCUCCCUGGAAAUGGGGGGAACAUGGCCGAGGCGCGUGGCGAGGCCGCCUCGUGGAGGCCCCGGAGCGGCAUCCUCAGCGCCCCAGCGAUCCGGUGCCCAUUAGAACCUGCUAAGGCCAUCAAACCUAUUGAUCGGAAGUCAGUCCAUCAGAUUUGCUCUGGGCCGGUGGUACCGAGUCUAAGCACUGCGGUGAAGGAGUUAGUAGAAAACAGUCUGGAUGCUGGUGCCACUAAUAUUGAUCUAAAGCUUAAGGACUAUGGAGUGGAUCUCAUUGAAGUUUCAGGCAAUGGAUGUGGGGUAGAAGAAGAAAACUUCGAAGGCUUAACUCUGAAACAUCACACAUCUAAGAUUCAAGAGUUUGCCGACCUACCUCAGUGAUGUCACCAUUUCUACCUGCCAUGUAUCGGCGAAGGUUGGGACUCGACUGGUGUUUGAUCACUAUGGGAAAAUCAUCCAGAAAACCCCCUACCCCCACCCCAGAGGGAUGACAGUCAGUGUGAAGCAGUUAUUUUCUACGCUACCUGUGCACCAUAAAGAAUUUCAAAGGAAUAUUAAGAAGAAACGUGCCUGCUUCCCCUUCGCCUUCUGCCGUGAUUGUCAGUUUCCUGAGGCCUCCCCAGCCAUGCUUCCUGUACAGCCUGCAGAACUGACUCCUAGAAGUACCCCACCCCACCCCUGCUCCUUGGAGGACAACGUGAUCACUGUAUUCAGCUCUGUCAAGAAUGGUCCAGGUUCUUCUAGAUGAUCUGCACAAAUGGCUCCUCUCCUCCUUCCUGAUGUCUGCCAUUAGCACUGGAAUAAAGUUCCUGCUGAAAAUCCA